CCCGAUAAAGGCAAACCUACCGUGAGGUAGGGGCGCAAAGCUACGGGUCUCUUUUAAGAGAAGGCCGAGUUGCCGAAG
rfam:Candidatus Omnitrophica bacterium 4484_70.1 ex4484_70.1_scaffold_41, whole genome shotgun sequence.